rnacentral:rRNA from 1 species
CAAGGUAUUGAAAUAAGGUUUUAAUUGAAUGCUAAAAGAAUGGAAUAUCAAAGAAUAACUUUCUUAAAAUUAAAAAUUGAAAUUUUUUUAAUUUGUGUAAAAACAAUUAUAUAAAUUAAAGACAAGAAGACCCUAAGAAUUUUUAAAAUUUAAAUUAACACAUUUUUGUUUUAAUUAAAUUUUAACUGGGGCGGUUAAAAAAUAUUAAAAACUUUUUAAUUUUGAAAAUGAUCCAUUAUUAAUGAAAAUAUGAUAAAAUACUCUAGGGAUAACAGCGUUAUAUUUUUUGAUAGAUCAUAUUGACAAAAAAGUUUGCGACCUCGAUGUUGGAUUAGGAUACUUUUUUAAUGAAGAUAUUAAAAUAAGAAGUUUGUUCAACUUUUAAAUUCCUACUUGAUCUGAGUUCAGACCGG